AGUGAACGCUGGCGGUAGGCCUAACACAUGCAAGUCGAACGGCAGCACAGGAGAGCUUGCUCUCUGGGUGGCGAGUGGCGGACGGGUGAGGAAUACAUCGGAAUCUACUUUUUCGUGGGGGAUAACGUAGGGAAACUUACGCUAAUACCGCAUACGACCUACGGGUGAAAGCAGGGGACCUUCGGGCCUUGCGCGAUUGAAUGAGCCGAGGUCGGAUUAGCUAGUUGGCGGGGUAAAGGCCCACCAAGGCGACGAUCCGUAGCUGGUCUGAGAGGAUGAUCGGCCAAACUGAAACUGAGACACGGUCCAGACUCCUACGGGAGGCAGCAGUGGGGAAUAUUGGACAAUGGGCGCAAGCCUGAUCCAGCCAUACCGCGUGGGUGAAGAAGGCCUUCGGGUUGUAAAGCCCUUUUGUCGGGAAAGAAAUCCAGCUGGCUAAUACCCGGUUGGGAUGACGGUACCCAAAGAAUAAGCACCGGCUAACUUCGUGCCAGCCGCCGCCGAA
rnacentral:rRNA from 1 species